ACUGCUGUUCCAGCAGCCGCCGCCACUAGGGGCGGUUCCAGCCACCGUCGCCAUGGCGUAUCCUUCGGCCAAUUCCUGGCGGCAUUUCGCGGCGGCGCACGGAUCCGGCCUGCGCGGCUCCGCGGCGGUGCCAGGACGCGACCCCGCGGCGGCGGGCGGGCACGGCCUUGGCGCGUGCCCCCCAGGCAGCGUGGCGCCCCCGACGGCCAGGGCGCGGCCCACUGGCGCGUGGCCGGCCAUGGCGGCCCCUGGCGGCGCGGUCCCGCGCGGGUGCGUCCCCCGACGGCCUGGGCGCGGCCGUCCCUCGGCUCAGACGGCCCUCGGCCAGGGCGGGCGGGCACGACCAGCGCGUGCGGGCGGCCUCCUCCGGCCAAGGCGGCGCGUGUGUGGCCCAGGCUUGGGCGCGCAGGCACGCCGGCCGGGCAGGUGUGUCCACUGCCAGCGCGGGCGCGCAGCCCCGGCACGGCCUCCCAGCGGCGUGGCCGUGGCUUAUGCUUGGGCGCGCGGGCACGGCGGCCGGCGUGGGCAGUGGCCCCGACGCGCGGCCCCGCGGCGGCUCGGAAAGUCGGCCCUGGCGCCCGUGGGCGCGGCCUCACUCCGGCGGCGCGGCCCCUGCUAGUCGCGUGGCGCGCGACCGCUCUCCGGCGGCGCAGCCCAGGCCAGAUGCGCGCGCAGGCCCGGCGGCGGCCUCGGAU
rnacentral:lncRNA from 1 species